GUGGCGACCUCUGCAGCCUCAGAGCUCUGGCUCUCAAAACAGCGGAGGGGAGAGGGCUGGGCGUGGAACAAAGCCAGGUGGGGAGCGCAGACACUGAACCAAAACAGCUGAGAGAUUUAAGAGAAGCUUGGAGAGAGAAUGUUAACUCCUUGAAGGCAGAACAAUUUGUCAUUCUGUUUUACGGACUCAUCUUCAUAUAUGGGAGCAGACUAGUAAGUGAUGGACCUUCAGGAGUCAUUGUAGAGUGCAAGACAAUUCCACCUUGGGAAGGCUUCCCCACACAGUGCAGCACAUCUAGCAUUCCUGUCCCCUGCUAUAAUGCCAAUACUACCUCAUCACCAGAACAGUUUCCUAGGAUUGCAGGAGCAAAUUACUACAAACUUGGCAGUUGAAAACAACAGAAGAAUAUUAUCUCACAGUUCUGAAGCCAGAAGUCUGCAAUCAAGAUAUUGGCAGAACCAUGUUCCCUCCAAAGCCUCCAAGGGAGGAUCCACCCCUGCUUUGUCAGUUUCUGGUGGCUCCAGGUGUUCUUUGGUUUGUGGUGACAUCGCUUCAGUCUCUGCCUCUGCUUUUACAUGGCCCAUGGCCUCCUAAUCUGUGUGUCUCUGUGUCCUUUCCUUUUCUUAUAAGGUUAACAGUCAUUGGAUUUAACCCUUCUUUCCCCAGAUCUAGGAUAAUUUCUCCU